rnacentral:lncRNA from 1 species
GCUAAGGACUAGAACUGAUUUGAUUUCUUUCAAAAAAGUCACCUCUAUCGUAACAAAGGUGUUGGUUAUAAAGAGGAACACCUGUUUUGCUAGAACCUAAACUAAGACCCCUAAUUCUUUUCACAUAAGUCAUUGGACAGCUGUCAGAUAUGUGAACAAGUUUUAGACACCUGAGAACUGUGACUUUGAACAGGUGACCUGGAGAUCCUCUGCCUUCGUUGUCACUUCCUGGGCCACCGCCAUGGCAGACUACACAGUCGUUAUAGAAAACGGCAUCACCCAGUUUUGUCUGAGACUACGCCAGCAUGGACACUAUUCCCUGCUGAAGGAAGGUGCAGAGCUUUAAAGGCUUACGGAGUCUAAACACCAAAUGGGAUGAUGGAGAACAGCUAUCCAGUGGUACAAAUGUAAAUGCUCCCAGGCCAGGUGGGUGAUUUAAAUGAGUGAAGUAGGGCAAAGUGUAAUUGCCUAAGUAGACAUUUGCUGACUCCACAUACCACUAGGGGACUAUACUUACUCCUGGCAGAAAAACAGUCCAUUCUAGACUAUUGUUGCAUACCAGAAGGCUAACUGAAAGUGAGGGGCCACGCUAACCUUUCAGGAAAAUCCAUCAGUCUUGAUUUUUAUGUAGUGUUUCCAAAAUGCUUUUGUUUUGGCUCAUUUGGUGAGCAGCCUACUCAUCUCCAGUUUGGUACUUUUAAUCUACUCUAAUCACACAUCUGGUAGUUGUAGAAACCAGGCCCAGAGAAGUUAAGCGUCUUGUUGAAAGUCCUGCAGCAAAGGAUAACACUGUGUCUCAAACCCAG